rnacentral:rRNA from 1 species
UACGGAGGGUGCGAGCGUUGUCCGGAAUCACUGGGCGUAAAGGGCGCGUAGGCGGCGCGGGCAGUCAACGGUGAAAGCUUGGGGCUCAACCCCGAGUCGGCCGUCGAUACUCCCGUGCUAGAGCACUGUAGAGGCAGGUGGAAUUCCGGGUGUAGCGGUGGAAUGCGUAGAGGUCCGGAAGAACACCGGUGGCGAAGGCGGCCUGCUGGGCAGUAGCUGACGCUGAUGCGCGACAGCGUGGGGAGCAAACAGG